rnacentral:rRNA from 2 species
UACGUAGGGGGCGAGCGUUGUCCGGAAUUAUUGGGCGUAAAGGGUUCGCAGGCGGUCUGAUAAGUCAGAUGUGAAAGGCUAUGGCUUAACCAUAGUAAGCAUUUGAAACUGUCAGACUUGAGUUAAGGAGAGGAAAGUGGAAUUCCUAGUGUAGCGGUGAAAUGCGUAGAUAUUAGGAGGAAUACCAGUGGCGAAGGCGACUUUCUGGACUUAUACUGACGCUGAGGAACGAAAGCGUGGGGAGCAAACAGG